GAGUUUGAUCCUGGCUCAGGAUGAACGCUGGCGGCGUGCCUAAUACAUGCAAGUCGAGCGAACGGACGAGAAGCUUGCUUCUCUGAUGUUAGCGGCGGACGGGUGAGUAACACGUGGAUAACCUACCUAUAAGACUGGGAUAACUUCGGGAAACCGGAGCUAAUACCGGAUAAUAUUUUGAACCGCAUGGUUCAAAAGUGGAAGACGGUCUUGCUGUCACUUAUAGAUGGAUCCGCGCUGCAUUAGCUAGUUGGUAAGGUAACGGCUUACCAAGGCAACGAUGCAUAGCCGACCUGAGAGGGUGAUCGGCCACACUGGAACUGAGACACGGUCCAGACUCCUACGGGAGGCAGCAGUAGGGAAUCUUCCGCAAUGGGCGAAAGCCUGACGGAGCAACGCCGCGUGAGUGAUGAAGGUCUUCGGAUCGUAAAACUCUGUUAUUAGGGAAGAACAUAUGUGUAAGUAACUGUGCACAUCUUGACGGUACCUAAUCAGAAAGCCACGGCUAACUACGUGCCAGCAGCCGCGGUAAUACGUAGGUGGCAAGCGUUAUCCGGAAUUAUUGGGCGUAAAGCGCGCGUAGGCGGUUUUUUAAGUCUGAUGUGAAAGCCCACGGCUCAACCGUGGAGGGUCAUUGGAAACUGGAAAACUUGAGUGCAGAAGAGGAAAGUGGAAUUCCAUGUGUAGCGGUGAAAUGCGCAGAGAUAUGGAGGAACACCAGUGGCGAAGGCGACUUUCUGGUCUGUAACUGACGCUGAUGUGCGAAAGCGUGGGGAUCAAACAGGAUUAGAUACCCUGGUAGUCCACGCCGUAAACGAUGAGUGCUAAGUGUUAGGGGGUUUCCGCCCCUUAGUGCUGCAGCUAACGCAUUAAGCACUCCGCCUGGGGAGUACGACCGCAAGGUUGAAACUCAAAGGAAUUGACGGGGACCCGCACAAGCGGUGGAGCAUGUGGUUUAAUUCGAAGCAACGCGAAGAACCUUACCAAAUCUUGACAUCCUUUGACAACUCUAGAGAUAGAGCCUUCCCCUUCGGGGGACAAAGUGACAGGUGGUGCAUGGUUGUCGUCAGCUCGUGUCGUGAGAUGUUGGGUUAAGUCCCGCAACGAGCGCAACCCUUAAGCUUAGUUGCCAUCAUUAAGUUGGGCACUCUAAGAUGACUGCCGGUGACAAACCGGAGGAAGGUGGGGAUGACGUCAAAUCAUCAUGCCCCUUAUGAUUUGGGCUACACACGUGCUACAAUGGACAAUACAAAGGGCAGCGAAACCGCGAGGUCAAGCAAAUCCCAUAAAGUUGUUCUCAGUUCGGAUUGUAGUCUGCAACUCGACUACAUGAAGCUGGAAUCGCUAGUAAUCGUAGAUCAGCAUGCUACGGUGAAUACGUUCCCGGGUCUUGUACACACCGCCCGUCACACCACGAGAGUUUGUAACACCCGAAGCCGGUGGAGUAACCUUUUAGGAGCUAGCCGUCGAAGGUGGGACAAAUGAUUGGGGUGAAGUCGUAACAAGGUAGCCGUAUCGGAAGGUGCGGCUGGAUCACC
rnacentral:rRNA from 1 species